rnacentral:rRNA from 1 species
UACGAAGGGGGCUAGCGUUGCUCGGAAUCACUGGGCGUAAAGCGCACGUAGGCGGCUUCUUAAGUCAGGGGUGAAAUCCUGGAGCUCAACUCCAGAACUGCCUUUGAUACUGAGGAGCUCGAGUCCGGGAGAGGUGAGUGGAACUGCGAGUGUAGAGGUGAAAUUCGUAGAUAUUCGCAAGAACACCAGUGGCGAAGGCGGCUCACUGGCCCGGUACUGACGCUGAGGUGCGAAAGCGUGGGGAGCAAACGGG